ensembl:lncRNA
GGGAGCAGCGUGUGGCCGUGCCGGCCGCGGGGCCGCUGGGCCGUGCCUUCGGUUUGGGUAGCAGUGCUGGCGGUGCGUGGCUGCGGAGGGCGAUGUGUGUCCGGCAGGAGGAGCUUUGCUCGCUGCUCAACGCGCUGUCCUGUAUUUAUCUACAGAGCCACACACAGGGGGAGGGUAUGGUGGGGUAACCUUCAAGGCCAGGUUGGAUGGGGCCCUGGGCAGCCUGGUCUAGUACCAGAUGUGGAGGUUGGUCGCCCUGCCUGUGGCAGGGGGUUGGAACUUGAAGAUCCUGGGGGUCCAUUCCAACCCAAGCCAUUCUGUUGGGUUCAUUCCUCUCAGCUAGGCUGGAGUUGGCUGAGCUGACUUGUUUCCCUGCCUUCUAAGCAGUGCUUGCUGCGUCACACUGGCUAAUCUUUAUCAACGCUCCCACUUUGUGUGCUGUCUCAGCUGCAGCAACGCCCUCUUCCUGGCUGCUGCUUUGGGGAAAUGGCGUGUAGAGUUCCGUGCACUGAGCAUCAUUGCUGUUUCUGUAGUGCUUUGUGUCACGGACGGGGGAAAUGAUCCAUUUCUCAAAGAGAAGGUGAAUUUCUGUUAAGGGAAAGGGUGGUUAUUGCUGAAAUAAUCCUUACUCCAAAGUGGGAGGAAACACAAUGUGUUGUAUGGUGUGUUAAAUAACUUUGUUUCUCCUUACAGCUGAUUCCUGUGAAAUAAAGUCUUUUAUUCUUUCAAGAAGAUACUCCACUGAGAGGAGUUGGAGAGUUCUGUAGGCUCCCUGGAAGUGUGGGCCAAAGUCCAGUAGUGGUAUAGGUCAGGAAAAAGGAUUUACAAGUUUUUCUUUUCUAAAGUAUUUUGGCUCCUCCUGGAGGUAAGUGCAGUGAAUUUCUCAGGAUAACACCUCACAGUAACUACACAGGCAUGGUGGUCUGUUUUCGCCAUGGUGCAAUCAGAUGGUGAAGGACUGUCACGAGAUGUUAAGUAAUUCACAUCACAAAACCUAAACCUUGGCAUCUUGAAAUAUUUGUUGGUAUUGUAGCAAUAUUUGCCAUUCUUCUAUCUCUUUAAAUCCACAUCAGUCUUGUCAAAGGAUCUGAGCCAGCUUUUUGCCUUCUGCAUCUUCCCACAGAAGGCCUGGUGUCUUAGGGCAGCACAUGCAACUCAUGUAGCUUCUGCACACCCCACCUUAUCCAGUGCUUCAUUCAUCACAGAAGAAAAAAAUAUAAUGCUCUGUUGCUGCUAUAACCUCCGGUUUAGUUUGUACAUCUGAAGAGUUUUGAUUGAAAAGCACUGCUCUCUUUGUUUUAUUUCUCCAUGUGGAUGCUUUCACUUUGCUGAAGGGGAAAAAGAAAAACAGUAUUAUAUGUCAGAACAGUGCUGUCCUUAAACUUUAAGGCUAAGCUUAUGCUUAUGUUUGUGCAGCUGAUACCGAGUAAUGAUGGUAAGUAGUACGAUAGGGUGUGUGUUUUCUACAAACGGCAGAAAACAUGGAUAUAAAAUUGUCCAGGAUAAAUCUGCUGACAUAGCAACUACAUACUUUGCUUUUGUGUGUUCGGUAUCACUGAUACCACUUGCAGUGAUUCCUUCUCUUCCUUCCCCCACCUUGUUUCCAUGCUGCUGCUCUGGGUAGGAGGCAAGGAUCCUGCUUUGCAGAUGAAAUUACUUCCCUGUUUUACUGUGUUUCUUUAUCCGAUAAUGUAGAUGCUGCUGAUGUCUCAGUGAAGAGAGAACUGAGGUGAAAAAGUAAUGAAAGGAAUGCUUGAUGUGCCAGACAAGUAAAAUAGUUUCCUACGUUGUAUAGUUCACUUUCAGGAGUUUGGGGGUACCCGCUAUUUGUCAGGCUAGAUUUUACACAGCUUAGAAGCUUGGAAUGUUAAAUCCUGUGUUAUCUCAAACGUAGGUCAUCAUUUUACACUGUUCAUCUGGAAAUGCUCACACCCACUUACCUUCUGACCCAGCAGGUCUUAACUGUGAGAUCCACAAGAAGCUUAUAGCCAUAUUGCAGAAAUAAGCACUGUCUCAGUGUCCCAUGUGAAAAGACUUAAAGUGACUAAAGAACUGAAGGCCUGCCUUUACUGUGUUUUGAGUACGUGGAUAUACUCUGAUUUAAUGCAUUUUAUGAAAGCUGCUUCAGGUGUUUGUAUGGUCCCGAGCCUGCUAAGCUGUCACAUAUGUCUGCCUUUGCUGUGCCAGCAUCCUACACUGCAGAAACUACAAGUUUUGUUGCAAAAACGAAUUUGGUCUCAGUGCAAUCAGGUAAGCAACCACUCUGUGCCCUGAGAGUAAGGAGAAGCAGCUGGAAGUGGUGGAAGACGGUGCAGAGAACAAGGAUAAGUAGCAACGUGUGAUGCGUUUGCCUUCUGCAAAGAAGCAGUUAGUACAUUUUGUAUGCUUUUCUUGCUUUCAUCGUGGUAAAUUCUUGCUCCUAAUUAAAACCAGAAGAUUUUGUUGUAAAUUCAGCCUUCACUGGAUAACGUACUGGAAACAUGCCUGCAAUCUGCACGAGAAAUGCGUGCAUGUACCAGAUUGGUGUGUACAACAUAUGCAAGAGUGUAAAAGCAUUCCAGGGUAAGUUUUAAGGUGUUUUGGUUUUGUGGAGACACCAUCCACAUCAGCACAGCUCAGAGAGCUGUUAAGAUGUUGGCCUUCUCUCAGGUUGUGUGUACUCACUGUUGGCCCUAUGUAAUUGCCAGCACACAAGUCAGCUGGGUGGGAAGGUUUUCAUAAUGGCUUGUGAAGGUGACACAUGCAAUUUGUAUUUCUCUUGGCACGUAAAUAAGUUUUAAAAUUGCACUUUCUUUGUUGUCUGCAGUCCCUUUGGAUGAAGGGGGAGAGCUGUAGAGUCACAGAGGCACUGCUGCUUGUAGAGCCUGUGAAAAAAAGCAGGUAAAGACGCAUUAAAGUGAGUGCUCUGAUCCUGAGCUUGGAGGAGCUGCCGUGGUGGUUUCCUUCUGUCAUCUACAGAAAUGCUUUGUGCAGUGGUAACAGCUUCAAGGUAAGGGUGUGGAUUCAGCUGGGUGUAGUAGGUAAGUAGGUCCGUGUGGUGUGAAAACACAGGUAAGAAUGGGAGGGUUGCAUAUCUAAGUGUUUGUAAAUGAAAUGGAGGGGGGAGGGGGGGAAGCAAUCGUUAAAUCUCUGGAAGACCUCAGGAUUCCUGUGAUAACUUUAUUAUAUUCUGUUUUUCAGCACAAGAAGAGCCUCUUCAGGUGUUGGGGACGUGUAAUGCUACCGAACUGCAGAACAUAAUAUGAGAUGGGGGGUGGACAGGCUACUCCAAGUCAUGGCCUCACAGAAACAGUUUCAGUAGAGAGGAAACCUCACAUUCUCUUGGAACUUCCAUGAAUUUAAGUGAGGACCCAUUGGCAGUGGUGAAACAGGAAGGAAACUAAUUUCUCUCUUGAGAUGUCUGAUCCUCUCAGCUGACUACAGAGGGAGCAGAAGUUAGGACAGCUCAAAGUUCAGGAGGUGCGUUUUCAAAACUGAAUUCCUGUCUAAAGUGCUCUAAGUCGCAAAAAAAUACCAGCAGUCUUCAUUUUGAAUGGUUCCAGAUGUACAACACAGAUGAGGCCAUAGGAUCUGCUACGGUAGAUAACACCCUUAUCAGUUUGCAGAAAUAGAGCAAACAAGAGACCAACUCCAGCAGAAGACUGAAGAUUUGCAAAGCAUCUUCCACAGUGCCUACAACAGCAGAUUAUUUCUGGCUCUCCAUUCCACAAAACGCAGGUAGCAGCAAACACACACAAGCAGGAUCUGUGUCCUUGCCUUCUGCAGGCCUGAAGCCUUUUGAACCAGCUCCAACACUGUCCAAAGUGCAAGAAGGGUGGUUGAUUUAAUUGAAGGCAGAUAAAUGCUAUGGGAAUGAUUAAAAGGAUUCAAGGAACAGAGUCAGAAAGAUAAAACGAGCUUAUUGCAGGCAGGGAUAUAUUCAUGGCAUCAGUAUAUGCUGUGGCUCUUCCAGUACACUUUCCAGUCUACACAAGGCCGUGCAGAGCUACCUGCAGGAUUUUAAGUGUGCCCAUUGCUUGAGCUCUGUUUGAGGUUAACAAUAUGGAAAACCUGGUGUGUGAUUCCUUGCUGCAAGGACCUGCUGGUGUACAUGUGGGCUUUCAGGUUAUGGAAAUGACCCAUUAUUUAUAAAAUAGCUUCUUCCUGUUUGCAGUGAUGCAGUGAAAUACUGAGUCAUCUCUAAACCUUUAGCCUUCCCUGAACAGCCUUUCUCAUUUGCGGCAUCUUACAUUUGGGUUGAUAGCAGUAGAGAGGAGAUUUUACUUGAACAUAUCACUUAUGGAUGAAUUGCUGCACCUGUAAAGAAAGCAUGUCCUGGAACUGCACUUCAGAUCUGUAGUUAUCAAGACUGACUUCAUUCCAUACACAAACUCCUCUGGUUUUAUAGGACUUACAGUGGUAUGUUGGUAUGCCCUAACUGUGCUUUAAGUGCAUCAUGGCAGUAACCACUCCUGUCCUCAGUUUUUCCAACAUGGAAAAAUGGGCAGCUUCCCACUUCUCAUAUCGAUUUGAAGUGGUUUCUUGCCCAAUAACAAGAUUGCUUUGUGUUGCAUGCCAAGAUACCCAAUUCUCUUCCCACAGAGCAAAGCGCCCGGGGCCUAAGAAGUUCUGGCUUCAGCUGGGAGCUGUACUUUAUUUCUCUGCCUUUUUCAACCUUUUUCAAUCUCUGCGGAACGCUGUAGAACAGAAUCAUAGAAUCACCAAGGUUGAAAGAGGCCUACAAGGUCAUCCAGUCCAACCAUCUACCUAUCACCAGUACUUCUCACUUAGCCACGUUCCUCAGUCUGACCCUUUAAGGGAUGAAAUGGAGGAGGCAUCUGAAAACAGAACGUAAAUCCUUUCCUCAGAAUUGCACAGUUGGGAAUUAUAUCCCUUGUCUACAGAAUAUAGCACAGGUUAAAGUAAAGCAUGAUGGUUGCUCCCAUUUCUUGCCAAGGCAGAAUCUUUCAAAAUCUUUGGCAAGAGAAAUGUGGAUGUGACAUGCUGCUUUGUCUCGUGGAACAUUUUAAUGGCAGCGCUCAGUUUUCCCCAGGGGACCUUCCUUCCUCGGAGCAGGAACUUGUCGCCGCUUAGCUGAUUUAGAUGUGCCUUCCGCCAAAAUCAGCAAGGAAGGAAUGGAUGGGAUGGACAUUAGCAAUAGGGAAAUCUUGACAUGUCUGAAGAGAAUGCGUGCUCGGAGGAGGGGCUUCUUCUGUUUCCAAAAGCGAAGUUUUAUCUGCAAAACAAGCUUUGCUUUUCCUGCAGAUGUCUCAUCUCUGCCUCGCGGCAAUGCUGUGAUGAUGUUUCAUCUUGUGAGAAGCCAAGGGGAAGAGAACUUACUAUAGUGAAAACAUCUAUUCACAAGCUAUUUAAACUGAACUAAAACAAGCACUACAACCAGCUGGGACUGCAAUGAUUAAAGUCUCCGCAGUUAUUACAGGGUUUGGUUUUCUACUGAAACAACACAUGCUGCAGACUAAGAUGAAGGAAGGAAGUAUGCACUGGUACAAUAGCAGACAAAAAUACCACUCAUUACCCUUCUGCUGACUGGCCAUGAGUGGCUUCGGAUAGACACGUCUGUCUUCUAAGAUAAAUCAGCAAUGCAAAGCCCAAGUGUAUAUAAAAAAUGCCAUUUUUUUAACACACAAAGAUCAAUUUUAGAGCUGUGGAGGUGCUAAGCAGCAUGCGGAGCGCUUGUAUCUCUCAGAAAUUUAGCUGAACCAAGUACCUAGGAAGCCAUGAGCAGACUGAAAGCAGCAGUGAAGCUGCAGGGCAAGCUGUCAUCUUCUUCUCACUUGUCCCUGAAAUGCCCCGACCAAAAUGAACCAUAGAAGCGUCUUAGAAUCAUAGGAUGGUUUGGGUUGGAAGGUCAUCCAGUUCCAACCCCCUGUCAUGGGCUGGUUGCUACCACCACACUGGGCUGCCCAGGGCCCAUCCAACCUGGCCUGGAGCACCUCCAGCGAUGGGGCAUCCACAACUCUGGGCAGCAGUGUCAGGCCUCACCACCCACUCAGCAAAAUAUUUUCCCAACAUCCAAUCUAGAUCUCCUCUUUUUUAGUUUAAAACCAUCCGCCUUGUCCUAUCUCUAUCUGCCCAUGCAUAAAGUUGAUUUCCUUCCUGCUUAGUAGCUCCCUUUAAGUACUGUAAGGCUGCAAGGAGAUCUCCCAGGAGCCUUCUCCAAGCUGAACACACUCAGCUCCCUCAGCCUUUUUUAUAGGAGAGGCCAGCCCAUGUCUUCCUGAGCCAGAACGGCCCCUCACACACAAAGAGGAAAACAUAGGAGGCUUUUAAAAGCUGAUGGCUGGGUUGAAAGACUUGAAUUGACAAGAAAAGAAUGGCUGUGAGGAGAUACUGUACUGAAUAAAUAUUAAUUAUUUUUGUAAACCCCAAUGGAUGCUAAUAGUGGUCUUGCAUUUGCAGUGUCGUCCGGAAGGCAGAACCCUCACACACAGCGUGUGGGAGUGCACAGAUGAACAGGAGUCUUCAUGCAUGAAAAUGGGCGUAUGUAUUUCAUGAACUAGAUUGUUCAGCAGAUUUUGCUUAACCUGCUUUGCACUAUGCCACCGAAAUGAGGACAACUGCAGACGUGUAUGUAAAGUGGCAAAUAUUAGCAAAAUUAAUUCCAAAGCAUGGCCUCUUUCAAGGCACUUUACAAACAAAUAGUAAUAAUGGGGCCACAAUUUAGUGAUUUCUAAGCUAUCUACAUUGAGUUUUGAAAUGUAUCUGAAAAUGAGUGCCAUCAAAGAACACAACGGAAAUUGGGCUCUGCCUUCCCAAAUUCUUUUAAGAGUUUCCUGGAAAAAAAAAAGAGUGCUGGGAUGGGCACAGCAGCAGGUGCAGGAGGACAAGGCAGACAGAGAGCAGUGUGUGUGCAUUAUCUGCUCCGGCAGCAGGGACCCAGUGUCACGUGUAUUGUGUCACCAAGCCACAGCCAGAGAGGAGGAGGGCAAGCCCUGCUUGUUAUAGCUGUUAAAGUCAGAACACCAUUUCUCAUAGUGAAAUCAUAGAAUGGCCUGGGUUGAAAAGGACUACAAUGAUUAUCUAGUUGCAACCCCCUGCUAUGUGCAGGGUCACCAACCACCAGACCAGGCUGCCCAGAGCCACAUCCAGCCUGGCCUUGAAUGCCUCAGGGAUGGGGCAUCCACAACCUCCUUGGGCAACCUGUUCCAGUGUGUCACCACCUGCUGUGUGCAAACUGCUUUGGAGAUGAUUCAGCCAUCAUCUGCACGUUAAAUGUCUGAAAAGACCUUUCGUUACCGCAUCAAGCACUGCCAGAGGACCACAUCAAACUGCUACCAUGGAGUAACAGUGAGAUUCAAAGCUGUGGCACAGGCACUGUAGGACCGCCUGGCACUGAGCUGAAGGUGCAACUACUGUCUGCGUGCAUCACUGAAUUGGCCUGAGACCAAACUACACACUUGAUAUCCAACAGCCACCAAUGCCCAGUGACAUGUUAACCACGUCAAUAAACAAUUAGCUAAACAGGUGCUGGGUUCUCCUGGUUAAAAGAAAACCAGACCUUCAUUAAAUUCUAAGAUAAGGUUGGAAAAAGAAUUGUUUCUGUAAUCCAUUAUCUGCUGCAUUAAUUUGGGAACUGGCUAAUUUCGAUCGCU